rnacentral:lncRNA from 1 species
GACGUCAUCGGUAGUGUCUAGUCUAGGCUAUGCUAUGCCAAACGAAUCGACUCUUUGAUUGAGGCUCGGAACAACCAAGGCUGACAAAGGGGUGGAGUAUAAGUGGCAAGGUAAAGAACAGUUUUGACAAAUAGCAGUCUUGCGGUUCCACGCUUUGUGUAUUUCAAAAUGCCUGCAACCCCACGCAAAAAGGCGCCUGCGAAACAAGCUGAAGAACGGGAAUACGAGCUGCCGCCGUGCCCACCCCCUCUGUUGCCUCCAUGUCCAUCUAAACCCAGACCGCCAACGCCUGAACCUGAGCCACCUAUGCCAGUUUGCCCCUGUCCUGCACCUCUGCUUCCUCCAUGCAAGAAAUGAACGUGGUUCCAGAACCACUUGCUUACCGGCCCGCCAAACCGUACCUUGGAUUCCUUGAAUCAACAGGACAGAGGAACUUGGCGUGCAACAUGGUCGCGGCCCAGGACUCUUGGGAAGUCAGUGGACCUGACCAGUGUGCCCACCCCUCAUUCCAGCCCCCCAGCCACAAACACCAUAAUAGCCUGUAAUCUUUACUCCAAUUAAAUAAAAACGAAACAAACAAGUG